ACUCUAGGCGGUGGAUCACUCGGCCCGUGCGUCGAUGAAGAGCGCA
rnacentral:rRNA from 1 species